rnacentral:rRNA from 1 species
UACGAAGGGGGCUAGCGUUGCUCGGAAUCACUGGGCGUAAAGCGCACGUAGGCGGAUUGUUAAGUCAGGGGUGAAAUCCUGGAGCUCAACUCCAGAACUGCCUUUGAUACUGGCGAUCUCGAGUCCGGGAGAGGUGAGUGGAACUGCGAGUGUAGAGGUGAAAUUCGUAGAUAUUCGCAAGAACACCAGUGGCGAAGGCGGCUC